rnacentral:rRNA from 1 species
GUCGAGCGCAGGAACCAGAUGACCCCUUCGGGGUGAUUCUGGUGGAAUGAGCGGCGGACGGGUGAGUAACACGUGGGCAACCUGCCUGUAAGACUGGGAUAACUUCGGGAAACCGGAGCUAAUACCGGAUAGUAUUUCCUUUCUCCUGAUUGGAAAUGGAAAGACGGUUUCGGCUGUCACUUACAGAUGGGCCCGCGGUGCAUUAGCUAGUUGGUGGGGUAAUGGCCCACCAAGGCGACGAUGCAUAGCCGACCUGAGAGGGUGAUCGGCCACACUGGGACUGAGACACGGCCCAGACUCCUACGGGAGGCAGCAGUAGGGAAUCUUCCGCAAUGGACGAAAGUCUGACGGAGCAACGCCGCGUGAGCGAUGAAGGCCUUCGGGUCGUAAAGCUCUGUUGUUAGGGAAGAACAAGUACGAGAGUAACUGCUCGUACCUUGACGGUACCUAACCAGAAAGCCCCGGCUAACUACGUGCCAGCAGCCGCGGUAAUACGUAGGGGGCAAGCGUUGUCCGGAAUUAUUGGGCGUAAAGGGCUCGUAGGCGGUUUCUUAAGUCUGAUGUGAAAGCCCACAGCUCAACUGUGGAGGGUCAUUGGAAACU